GGAGAAUGAUAAGUCUUUACGCCGGGUGUAUAGUUGGAGAAUGAUGAGUCCUUAUGCCGGGUGUAUAGUUGGAGAAUGAUGAGUCUUUAUGCCGGGUGUAUAGUUGGAGAAUGAGGAGUCUUUACGCCAUGUGUAUAGUUGGAGAAUGAUGAGUCUUUACGCCGGGUGUAUAGUUGGAGAUUGAUAAGUCUUCACGCCGUGUGUAUAGUUGGAGAAUGAUGAGUCCUUAUGC